rnacentral:rRNA from 1 species
AACGAACGCUGGCGGCAGGCUUAACACAUGCAAGUCGAACGGGCGUAGCAAUACGUCAGUGGCAGACGGGUGAGUAACACGUGGGAACCUUCCUAGGGGUACGGAACAACUCAGGGAAACUUGAGCUAAUACCGUAUACGUCCGUAAGGAGAAAGAUUCAUCGCCCCUAGACGGGCCCGCGUCGGAUUAGGUAGUUGGUGGGGUAACGGCCUACCAAGCCUACGAUCCGUAGCUGAUCUGAGAGGAUGAUCAGCCACACUGGGACUGAGACACGGCCCAGACUCCUACGGGAGGCAGCAGUGGGGAACCUUGGACAAUGGGCGCAAGCCUGAUCCAGCCAUGCCGCGUGAGUGAAGAAGGCCUUAGGGUUGUAAAGCUCUUUUACCAGGACGAUAAUGACGUACCUGGAGAAUAAGCCCCGGCAAACUUCGUGCCAGCCGCCGCA